rnacentral:rRNA from 1 species
AGAGCGAACGCUGGCGGCAGGCCUAAUACAUGCAAGUCGAACGGAUCCUUCGGGAUUAGUGGCGGACGGGUGAGUAACACGUGGGAACGUGCCCUUUGGUUCGGAACAACUCAGGGAAACUUGAGCUAAUACCGAAUGAGCCCCCAUCCUUAAACAAGAUGGGUGGGAAAGAUUUAUCGCCAUUGGAGCGGCCCGCGUCUGAUUAGCUAGUUGGUGGGGUAAAGGCCCACCAAGGCGACGAUCAGUAGCUGGUCUGAGAGGAUGAUCAGCCACACUGGGACUGAGACACGGCCCAGACUCCUACGGGAGGCAGCAGUAGGGAAUCUUGCGCAAUGGGCGAAAGCCUGACGCAGCCAUGCCGCGUGAAUGAUGAAGGUCUUAGGAUUGUAAAAUUCUUUCAGCGGGGACGAUAAUGACGGUACCCGCAGAAGAAGCCCCGGCUAACUUCGCGCCAGCAGCCGC